rnacentral:rRNA from 1 species
AUUGAACUCUGGCGGCACGCCUAACACAUGCAAGUCGCGCGAGCGGCGGACGGGUGAGUAAUGUAUGGGGAUCUGCCUGAUGGCGGGGGAUAACUACUGGAAACGGUAGCUAAUACCGCAUACCCUCAGAUGUACCCAUAUGGGAUUAGCUAGUAGGUAAGGUAACGGCUUACCAAGGCGACGAUCCCUAGCUGGUCUGAGAGGAUGAUCAGCCACACUGGAACUGAGACACGGCCCAGACUCCUACGGGAGGCAGCAGUGGGGAAUAUUGCACAAUGGGCGCAAGCCUGAUACAGCCAUGCCGCGUGUAUGAAGAAGGCCUUCGGGUUGUAAAGUACUUUCAGUGGGGAGGCGUUACCGACAGAAGAAGCACCGGCUAACUCCGUGCCAGCAGCCGCGGUAAUAC